GAUAACCUUUUGAAAGCCAGAGAUAGAGCUGUUAUCGGCAAAGAGACACAGCGUCGAUCUCUGAGGAGUCAACAGGAUCUCAAACGCAAGAACGAGGAGGAGAAGAAGAAGGCUACAUCCCAGACCAACAGGCUGCGGGUGGACAUCUUUAAAAAGAAACUGUUGGAUCAGCUUCUCCACAGAGGCACAGACUGAAGAGCCACCAAAGACCAGCUCUCUCCUCUCCAG